GUGAAACCGCGAAUGGCUCAUUAAAUCACACCUAAUCUACUGGAUAGUUAACAGUUACUCGGAUAACUGCGGUAAUUCUGGAGCUAAUACGUGCAUAAAGCCCCGAACGUGAGUGAGGGGCGCUUUUAUUAGACCAAAACCAAACGGCUUCGGCUGUUCUCUUGGUGACUCUGAAUAACUUUGGGCUGAUCGCAUAGCCUAGCGCUGGCGACAUAUCCUUCGAAGGUGUGCCCUAUCAACUGUCGACUGUGACAUAGACGCUCACAGUGGUUUUGACGGGUAACGGGGAAUCAGGGUUCGAUUCCGGAGAGGGAGCCUUAAAAACGGCUACCACAUCUAAGGAAGGCAGCAGGCACGCAAAUUACCCAAUGACCGAAGGUCGAGGUAGUGACGAAAAAUAACGAUACGGGACUCAUCUGAGGCCCCGUAAUCGGAAUGAGUACACUUUAAAACCGUCCCCGAGGAUCUAUUGGAGGGCAAGUCUGGUGCCAGCAGCCGCGGUAAUUCCAGCUCCAAUAGCGUAUAUUAAAGUUGUUGUGGUUAAAAAGCUCGUAGUUGGAUCUCGGCGAUCUGAGGGCGGUUCGCUUGCUUGUGUUACUGCCCUAUAGGUCGUAGUUUUGCCAGAGGUCUCCGGGUGAUCUUAAUCGAUUGUCUUGAGAUGCUGGCAGGUUUACUUUGAAAAAAUUAGAGUGCUCAAAGCAGGCUUUUACGCCUGAAUAUUCGUGCAUGGAAUAAUAGAAUAGGAAGUCGUUUCUAUUUUGUUGGUUUUCGGAAAUUGACUUAAUGAUUAAUAGGGACAGUCGGGGGCAUUUGUAUUCAAACGACAGAGGUGAAAUUCUUGGACCGUUUGAAGACAAACUACUGCGAAAGCAUUUGCCAAGAAUGUUUUCAUUAAUCAAGAACGAAAG
rnacentral:rRNA from 1 species